rnacentral:lncRNA from 1 species
UUUUUUAAAAGUAUCAAUGUAGUAACACUUGUCAAUGAAAUCAUCUACUUUUCUUCCACUCUUAUGGAUAGCACAAACUGCAUGACAGCAAGGAAGGCCUGCAAGCUCAAAGUAACCACAUGAACAUGUCCAUUUCUCAAGAUUAACUGUGUACCUCCUUCCUCUGGUAUUCAAAUGCUUCACCUCAAAACCAUCCUUUCCAUUCCAC